CGGGAAGGACCUUGCGAAAUGGUUUACCGGUUGGCCAAGUGAUCGGGUGGUCAAGGCGAGCGAGCCGAUAAUGUAUUUAAGAUAUUGAUUACUAGUUUUGGUCAAAAGUGAAAUCAAACUCCAUAAAACAGUUGACUUUGUUUAUUUUUGACCCCAAUAAAGUUGAAACUAGAUUUUGGAAGCACAAUGAAUGAACUUAGCCCAUAU
rnacentral:lncRNA from 1 species